rnacentral:lncRNA from 1 species
UUUUUUUUUAACACUGAAAAUUUAUAUUAACCAUUGAUGGAUUCGGAGAUCGGAUACAUGAGUGAUACACAGAGCCAGCGGAAUCUAAUUCCCCGGAGACAAAGCCCUAUUAAAAGGGAGACAAGGCCCUACUAAAAGAGAAACAUGACAGAUACAACAAACCUAAACCACAGCAGUAAAUCCAGCAACAAAAGUUCAUUUGAAGUACACCAAAGCAACAAGACUAGACUACCUUAGGAUCAAAGUAACCAAUGUCAUCAAAAUAACUUGAUAACAGAGACCUUCUAUAGUGACUAGCUCAAGAUGUGAAGAACAUGACAAAUGCUUCAUUCCCAGCAAGAUAGAACCAGCUUAGGGUUCCAUAACCAUUCAAAU